rfam:Candidatus Levybacteria bacterium RIFCSPHIGHO2_01_FTLL_38_26 rifcsphigho2_01_scaffold_9309, whole genome shotgun sequence.
GGGUCGGUGGCGGAACCUGGUAUACGCGCAUGCUUGAGGUGCAUGUCCCGCAAGGGGUGGAGGUUCAACUCCUCUCCGACCCA